AAGCUCUCUCUAUCGCACUCUCAUUACUCUCCAACGUGGGCCUCCCUCCGCCAAAUGGCCGCAGAACAGCGGGAUACGAUGGCUGCCAUGCUAGCCAUCCUCGAGGGCGGGCAGAACCAAGGCGACCUAGCCUCUGCCCCAAGGCCGUGGCACUCGUCCGCGGCAGACCACACCGAGCAGGCGGCAGCAGGGCCUCGGCCGAGGAGAACCGGAAAUGCCAGGGUCUACCGGCGGUUCUACGCCACGAGGCCAGAGCCGGGGUCGUCGUCGGCCGCACCAACAGCGCGCUCAGCUAGGCCUGAGACGCCGUCGCGCAACUGGCCCCAAGCAGACGAGGUACAUCAGAUCUACCAGUCCUUGUACGAGCCGCCGAGCGGUCCGGGGAGUGAAGAGUCCCCUCUCCCUCUCGCCGAGCUGUUACCGGCCGUGGCAGACAGGUACCCACUGCACCUGAGUCCAGCCGACGAGUGGGUCGACCCCACGGAGCGGCGGGAGGCAGGCGCGGAACGCCAUGAGUCCAAGCCAACCGGCCAACCUGGCAGGCCCAAGUCCGAGGAGCUCUCGACCGCCCGGCGCUAGCAGAUCUAGGGCGAGCAGGGGGACCGACUAGGGUGUACAGCCGGGGUCCCCGACGGCUCUUCCUACGGCCCAAGAACUAAUAAUCACAGUGGUGGUUCGAGUCCAUUUUGUUCUAUGUGUUACUUUCAAUUUUAGAUAGUGAGGGGGGCUUUAGUUAUUUGAAUGACAUUUAAUAUAAGUAUUUCUACAUGUUUAGUAAAGUUUGUGAUAUUUUUUAUAUCAUAAUCUUUUGACUGUGUUAUAUAUCCUAAUCUUUUGACUGUCUUAAAAAAAAAGGGUCUAUCAUUGGUGGUCCUCACAUGUUGCAUUCGUGUUGCCUAUUAAAAGAUAUAUUAUUCAUGCAAAUUAGACAUAUUUUGGAAGAACAAUGGCUUUAGAUGAGCAGGAAUGUCCUAACACAGUGUUUUAUGAAUCUAUCACAAUCUUCAAGAUAAAUUCAUGAAUAAUGUAUUAGUUUCUAUUGCAAAUUCUUUGAAAAAAUGGUAAUUUCUUAUUCUGUAAAAUGUAUGUGUGUGUUCCUUUUUAUUAAACUAGGCAUGUGGAUGCCAUCUCUUUAUUUUAAACCCCAAAAAAUGUUUUGCAAUGUAAAAAUCAGAUUUCUUUUAUGGGAGCGUUCUAAAAUGAAUCUAUGAAUGCCUGAGCUUGAAUUUUGUUUGUAGAAUAUGAUCGAGACAUUGAAACAAACUUGAGUUUCUUGUUACUGCUUUGGUUUAAGAACGUAAAGAUCAUGUCUGCCAGUUAUUUUGUUUAUAAGCACUCAUGAGAAUCGAAUAGGCUACAUACAUGCCUUCUGCAUGUCCACCUGCACCAUUUUUGCCAAAAGACUACCACCAACUUGAACCCUCGAUGGCGUUCCUUAAAAUUUGUUCAAUUAAUAACGUCCUUACUCUUUCCUACAUGAAAUUUUAUGGUUCUUUUAUUUCAUUUUUUAAACGGAUUUUUUAAUAGGAGUUUUUACCGUUGAACAUGAGCAGGUUGAAGAAAAUAAUUUUCAUUUAAUGUUUGAUAAUUUCCAAUAAUUUUUCUUUCAUUUUUCGAAAAAGGCAUUUGAGGAUUCUCAUAAGAGGGCGCUAAUUCUACAAAAGGUAAUUUAAUCCGAGUCUCUUGUUUUUGAGAGUCGUCAAAACUUAAAACUGAAGCUUGCAUCAAGAAAAUAGUUAGUAAAAAUAUGCUGCCGUAAUUUUGAGAUUGUGAACAUGAUUUUUUUUUUCCCGAAUUUCUGUGACACAUCGUGUUCGUUGUGUGAGACUCUUGGUCCCAGCCAAGCUUUUGUGUACAACUUUUUCAGAAACGAGAUAAAACUUCUGUAAUUUUUAAUAAAAAUACAUUUUUCAUACAAACUAUCAAAUAAAAAGACGAGAUGAACUUCCGUUUAAUUGAAAAACGAAAAGCACUAAGUACUAACUAAAAUAAUGAUAAUGUAAUUUAGCAUUAAAGAGUGAUAUUAAAAAAAGCUGUAAUUGUUACAAUGGACGAGUUGCUAAGGUAUCAAUAGUAACCGUUCCGUAUGCAAUCUUGCAGAAUAGUUUGCUUACUUUUGCAGAUAACCAAAGAGUUGAUAUACAUUUAUUGUUCUAAAACAGCUGCAAUCUGUCCAUCUUGUGUUCAUCACGGUCGUUUUACAUCUUAUUCUCUAUGGAUUGAUGUUUCCAAUUUUUCUGUUUUUUCACUCAUAUACACACACAUGGUUCAUGAAAGCAUGUUCAAGGAAAAUGAGGCUAAACCAUUACUGAAAUGGUGGUGACCAUAUUUGGUGAACUGGUUCUCAGGAUUUUUAGGAAAACGAAUAGAAAAUGCAUUUAAAUUAGUCUCUGAAUCCUAUACUGGAGAUUCUUAUGACUAUCUUGAAUUUGUGCAGGAUCUCUCAGAAGCAGCAAAGAUUUGUGUGACUUGGUCUGACAUGGUACAGAACAGGCUCACGAAUUGCUAAGGUAUCAAAUGUAAAACCCUGUUUUUACUCGAGACCCAAUGCAUCUGCACUAAGGGAAUUAAAUCAGAUUACUUGGUUCCCAUAUUUUUUUGUGUGGAGAACAGCCUUGUAGGUUGUUUCCUUUUUGCCACUAAUGGGGCUGGGCUGGUGAAAUUUCUAGCAGGCGAAACCUGCAAUCAACAACUAUUUCUGCAGUGAAAUUGUUACAAUGGACGAGUUGCACGAUUUUGUGGAGCGAACAAUGGAGGAAGGGUUUGAGAGAUUACAUAAGCAACAAAAGGCAGCUCAAGAUGAAUUCAGGAAGCAGCACGAAGAGAACAAAGGGCAACGAUCCACCCAUACGGAGCUCAAAUUAACCCUUCUUUGCAUAAAAUUGUAACAUGAAGACUUGAAAACAAUCGAGGAGUUGCGUGAUCAACUCUGGCAGGCAAAAGAAGAGAGGUAUCAAGAAAUGUUGAAGCAUCAAAAAGCUGAACAAGAUGCAUUUGAGGCUGAACACAGGGCAAGCUGGCAGAAGAUCUGCUUACAGAAGAAAAGAAACAAAGGAAAGCUGUGGAGGCAUCUUUGGUUAAAGAGAGACUAGAGGUAAAUGUACUGAGAGAAGAGCUACGAGAUGCAUGGGACAAGAAACAUUCACUUGGAACUGAAGUUGGCAGCUUACAUUGCAUCUUAGAUGAGAUGCUAAGACAGCAAUAUGAAGGACCAUCUGAAGUGGAGAAUGAGUUCGGAGCGGAAACCGAACUCCAGAACUACACUAUACUCACACAUACAGAAUUGGUUGAGGCAACAACCAAUUUUAGCCAAGGUUUAAAAAUUGGUAAUGGAGGUCUGGGAAUUGUAUACAAGGGAUGGAUUGACUCUAAAAUGGUUGCCAUUAAGGUGCUUUGGUCAGAGUUUCCUCAGGGAUUAAGGUUUCUUCGUAAGGUAAAUGUCAUAUAUAAUUAAAGAGUAGCAUCUAACUAGUUUUCAUACAGUUAAAAAAUUUCCUCACUAAUUCUGUAAUAUGAUUAAAUGUGCAGCAAGCACAUCAGAGAGUGAAAGUGGUGGAAUAAAAAUUAGAGGCAAGAAAAAACAAUUUUGAACCUAUUUACUUAUUAUAACACACACACAUACACAUAUAUAAUUUUCAGUAAACUGAAAAGUGUUUCAGUUCUGAAAAUGGGACUCAAAAGCACACAUGUAGCUCAUGCAUGCACAAGAAGAACUGCUGUCAUGGUUAUUAGUGGAUGUUCACAGGUUCACGUGCCUAAUAAAGUAAAAGAUCUCAUUACAUACUGAAAGGGCACGGUUAAUAAGAAUAGAAAUGAGCACCCUCACAUUUAGCUGCCUGCACACAUACACUCGGACAAAGCUAAUAUUAUAGCUGGUAAUGGAUGUUGACAAGUUCACUUGAACAUUGAAUUUGGGUAUAUAAUUAGAUAGAGACAGAAAGGGACAGUUAGUAGAGAAAAUUUAGAAUGUACGGGAGAUCUUUUAAUCCAAUUGCUAUGGACCUCUAGAUUCUUGGGAGUGUAGAGAUAUGGUGAGUUUGUUAGCAUCUACCAAAGACCAUAAAGGUUAAUUUUAAUAAACUGAAGUGUAGGCUUAUUUAUGUUCACAUGUCAUAAAUUUGCUAGGAGACCCUUGAGGGCAAUUAGUUAUUAUCUAGGAAACAUGAUGUCCUGAAUUGGAAGGGAUAAAAUGAUUUGGACAAUGAUCACUACUGAAAGCGACUGCUUCUGCUAGGGUCAAAAUCUUUGUGGAUGUAAAAACUUGUUCUUCCAUCCACAAAGGCCAUGGACAGUGCUAACAUCAACAACCUUUUAUGAAUAUCAGCAAUUUUACCCCAUUACAUCCUUCUAUGGAUGUUAAAAAAGUUUAGCUCUAAAAGUCUUUGGAAUUUUGUUGUAUUGGUAGACUAUUAAGAUAGGUAUAUUUUCAUAUUAAAGAGUGAUGUUGGGGAAGUGGCAUUUCUUAGCUUUUUUCUGCAUUGUGUUGAACAUCAUCUUUAUGAUAUUGAUGUGUCAAUUUACUCUUGUAUUCUCAGUGGAUUAGGUUUGUCAAAUGUGGCAAUUUUAUUGUAUCCAUUAUUAUAAAUCUCAAUUUACAUCUAUGCUACAUACAUCAUUGUAUAUAUAUAUAUAGUGAGAGAGAGAGAGAGAGAGAGAGAGAGAGAGAGAGAGAUGUGCCGCUGUGUGCCUUCAGUCAGAAGCAACUUUCUUGUGGUACAAAUGGAUUCAGAACACUUUUUGGUUAAAUUCACGCUUUGAGUCACAAUUUCUGAAGCA